rnacentral:tRNA from 1 species
UGGAGGAUAGCUCAGUUGGUAGAGUACCAGCGGAAACGAGGUGGUGACGUCAGUUCGAAUCUGACUCCUUCAA